AGUAGAAUCACCAGGUCGUAUGGUAAGUUUAUGUUUACUUUGUAAGAAAAUGCCAAAUUGUUUUCCAAAGUGGCUGUACCAUUUUAAAUUCCUACUGGUAAU
rnacentral:pre_miRNA from 1 species